rnacentral:rRNA from 1 species
GUUUGGCAGCAAACUAAAUUCUUCCGGGGGAAGGUGCAUAUUAAAGAGAUGGUCCGCUUAUUAUUUUACUAUGCUUAGUGUUAGUGUAUAUCCGUUUAUAUAUUUACGUUUUAUGAUUAGAGUGAGUAUAUUAUUAGAUAAUUUAAGACAGGUCUAUAUGCUGCUUAUAGCAUAGGUUAUUGUGCGUUACAUUUAAAAACUAAUUCUUAGAAAGUAGUAUUAGAUUUGGGACUCGGAAGUAGGAGUAAUAAUAGUAUGAUGCUUCGAAGGUUGAAAUAGUUUGGGUACACAUCGCCCGACAAUCUCGGUGUUUAACUGAGUUAA